CAGCAGCCACGGUAAUACGUAGGUCCCGAGCGUUGUCCGGAUUUAUUGGGCGUAAAGCGAGCGCAGGCGGUUAGAUAAGUCUGAAGUUAAAGGCUGUGGCUUAACCAUAGUACGCUUUGGAAACUGUUUAACUUGAGUGCAAGAGGGGAGAGUGGAAUUCCAUGUGUAGCGGUGAAAUGCGUAGAUAUAUGGAGGAACACCGGUGGCGAAAGCGGCUCUCUGGCUUGUAACUGACGCUGAGGCUUGAAAGCGUGGGGAGCAAACAGGAUUAGAUACCCCAGUAGUCCUUGUCUCUUAUACA
rnacentral:rRNA from 1 species